CACACCUCCUGUAGUAUUAGAAACCUCAUGUAUUGAGUACGUCUUUAUCAGAUAAGAUAUGCUGCACAUACUCGAAAGUUGGGUAGUCAAUCUCAUGUUUAACUCAAUUACUCAUUGAUACUUUUUUUUAUUAACAGCUCAUUGAUACUAACCUACCCAAUUCGGCCGAGCAUGUGUUUUCUGUCUUUAUAAACCUAACCAGCUGCUUCCUAAUGAAAACCACCCACCCCAAAAAAAAAAAAAACCCAAUAAAGGCCAUAUUGCAUUCUUCUUAUACCCAAUUAGAUAUGAAGAUCAAAUCACUUCGAUGGCUCUUCUUGAUCAUCCUAUGCUUGCAAGCAUUUUCAGGUCUUAGACAUACAAGAUCUGAGCUACUGGGACAAAUUGGAGGAGAAAAGCCGCAGCCACAUGGUUCAAAUGUGACGAUUGGGUUAGAGGAGAAAGAUGGGCAAAGAAGAAGAUAUGAGGAAGUGAAGCUCUUACAUUUAGGUGGCCAUAAAGGGAGGGGGAAUGGUGGUGGGAACAUAAAUCCACGACCUUCUACGACUUAUAGGAAAAGUGACGCACCCACCCUCUUGGCAAGGCUUUCUUCAAUCAUCUCACUAGAUUCAAAUGCGACGAGAGAAGAAUGCAUUUUAAACCCAACACUCUAUUCCGAACAUGCGUACCAAAAUGGUUUUAGAUUUUAAGCAAAAACAAGUUAGAUAAGGAACUAAAAUUCUAAAAAUAUACCAAGGCCUAUCUACAUGUAUACAUGUUGUCUUCGAUAUAUGAUAUUUUACUUUUGGCUCAAUAGACAAGGCUUAGCAAAAGCUCAUUCUCAAAAGAACAGCUAUGGAAUAGAAAAAGUGAAAUUUUAAUUAAUUUAAUUCAAAAUGCAUUCCGCAUUGGUCCUAAUCAUUUGAUUAAGAAAUUUAAAUAUUUCUGUCUGGCUAAUUAAAAUGACCACUCCAAAAUAUAAGUCCCCAAAGACAAAGACCACCCAACCUCGUCUUCUCAAUAUACUCUUAACUUAUCUCAUGUAACAUUUUCUUUUUCAUAUACGCUUUUAUAUGUAUAAUACUCGCUCUCUCAGAAGAAUAACAGAGAUUUUAACAUAUCUAGACAAGUGGGCGUGAAAAGACAGUUUUCUAAUUUUUUUUCACUGAAAUAAAGUGAGAAUACAAAAGAGAGGGAGGGAGGGAGAGAAACGAAAAUCCACAAAUUUAGUAAUUGCAUUUAUUUAUUAUUAUUGUUACUAUUUUUUUUGGUGGUGGUAAACAUAGGGAACUAAAAUCUUUAGGAUACACAAGGUCCUUAUAUAUAUAUAUAUAUAUAUAUACACACAAAAGCAUUGGGCCUUGAGAUUUGAUAUUGUACUCUUGGCAAAAAUCAAAACAACAAGGUUUAGUGAAAGCCCAUUCUCUAAAGAACAGCUAUGAGCAGAAAAAUAUGAAAUUUUAAUCAAAUAAAUUCAAAAUGCAUUU